rnacentral:tRNA from 1 species
GCUCGUCUAGCUCAAUUGGUAGAGUGCAAGGCUUAUAACCUUGAGGUUUUGGGUUCGAGCCCCACCGUGGGCA